rnacentral:rRNA from 1 species
GACGAACGCUGGCGGCGUGCUUAACACAUGCAAGUCGAGCGGUAAGGCCCUUUCGGGGGUACACGAGCGGCGAACGGGUGAGUAACACGUGGGUGACCUGCCCUUAGCUCUGGGAUAAGCCUGGGAAACUGGGUCUAAUACCGGAUAUGACUCCAUGACGCAUGUUGUGGGGUGGAAAGCCUUGUGCGGCUAGGGAUGGGCCCGCGGCCUAUCAGCUUGUUGGUGGGGUGAGGCCUACCAAGGCGACGACGGGUAGCCGGCCUGAGAGGGCGACCGGCACACUGGGACUGAGACACGGCCCAGACUCCUACGGGAGGCAGCAGUGGGGAAUCUUGCGCAAUGGGCGAAAGCCUGACGCAGCGACGCCGCGUGAGGGAUGACGGCCUCGG